rnacentral:tRNA from 1 species
GUCCCCAUCGUCAGAGGUAGGGACACCGCCCUUUCACGGCGGCGAUCAGGGUUCGAAUCCUGUGGGGACGCCA